UCACCAGAUCUGAUUAUGAUUUCCCGGUCCUCACUGACCUUGUGGACCAUGGCCGUGUCUCCAAAAUCUCAGCUGAACACUCAGGAUGGCACGGCGAGAAGGCUCUCUCACCAGAUGCCAGCCCCUCAGCCUUGGACUUCCUAACCACCAGAACUGGCAACCCGUUUCCAUGAAAACAGGACAGUGAGUAGUAGGAAGAAGAGUAUCAGUGGUGAUCUUUACCAUCAUUUAUCGGGAGCAAACUUGAAUUAGUUUCUUUGGGAGGAAAACUUCCUCUGAAGACUACAAGGAAGCGGAAGAUAGUACAGUCACUCAGGCAGUCCAAGGCAGGCAUGAGAUGGCCUUGUAAGAGAACACUGCCUCCUUGAAGACUGCCAUAAGCCAUGAGGAAUGUCUUCUAAAUC